UUGUUUCAGAGCAGUGUUUACACUAACUCACUUUUGUUCUCAGUUUGUACUCAGCACUGCUGUCAACUCCAUACAUUGGAAAUCAUAUCUCAGAAACUAUUAAAAAUUACAUCUUUCACUUUUUUUUUUUUUUUUUUUUUCUUCAGGGAGCCAAUCUAGGGAGAAAACAGGGAGAGAUAUUUUUUCCUACUUGUUUACUCUCCCUAUCUCCUUCACCCACCUCUUCUUCUCUGGGAUAGUUACGGUAGUUCUUAAAGAUUUUGAAUAUCCUUGGGAUGUUCAGACCAGAAUGUUGUUAUUGUUAUGUCUCCUAAAUGCACUUCAGAUUUUGUUUAAGGUUAAACAACUACUUAGGAAUGCCAUCCAGAGAUCUGUCCUGAGGCAGAAUGAGUGGCAGGGAUCCAGGGAUCCAAGGAUCCAGAUGAAGUCAAGUGUACACAACCCAUGUAGUGGAAAUUUGUAAGGAGUGCACCAUCAUCAUAUGCCAACUCAUUGGCAGUAGUGACCUGGAAAUACCAUGAGGAACCCACAGUGGAUGAAUUGGCUAAACAACUCUGGCAGUACAAAGAAAGUCUCUCCUCUUCUCUACAGGCCUGCAUCUCCGCUGUGGAAAAACUUUCUCAAGAGUUCCACCAACCAAAAGAGAAUACUUUGGAGAAACUUUCUGAAGAGGUCCACCAACUUAGGGAGAAUUUAUCUUCCUCCCCACUUGUACAAACCAGCAUCUCAGCUAUCAGAGGCUGUUUCAGCUGUCAUUCAAUGACUCUGUGGUUCAGCAACUGAACUGAGCGAAGAGGUGGGUGCUAAUAGCUACCACUACAAGAAGAGGGCUCAAUACCUGAAACCAAAGCUCUGGGAAGGAACCUUUUCUAUAAUUGUUCAGUACCUCUUGGUCCAAGAAGAUGAACCAACUUUGCUUUUAGGAUUGCUUUUCUGGGAACUUCCUUCUACGUUAAAGUAGCAUGACAGCAUCCACUGGCAAAUGGGUAAGAGGGAGAAUUACUAAAGAACUUACAGUGACAAAAUGUGAAGAGGAAACUAUUACGAUGUUGUGUAAGUUGUGCAGAAGAGCACAUGAUGACUUCAAGAAGAUAUCGGUUUACUAGGUUUUGAUCAUUUAAAACAAGUAAACUUUUUAUGCUAAUCCAAAGCUGGGCAGUGGGCUUUAUGAUGGUGUGUAUAAUUAUACAGUAGACCAUAUGAAAU
rnacentral:lncRNA from 1 species